CAAGUCGAACGCGAAAGGGGCUUCGGUCCUGAGUAGAGUGGCGAACGGGUGAGUAACACGUGGGUGAUCUACCUUCGAGUGGGGGAUAACGUUCCGAAAGGAACGCUAAUACCGCAUGACGUUCCGGGUUUAAAGACCUGGAAACCAAAGCUGGGGACCGCAAGGCCUGGCGCUUGAAGAGGAGCCCGCGUCCGAUUAGCUAGUUGGCGGGGUAAUGGCCCACCAAGGCGACGAUCGGUAGCCGGCCUGAGAGGGCGGACGGCCACACUGGAACUGAGACACGGUCCAGACUCCUACGGGAGGCAGCAGUGGGGAAUUGUUCACAAUGGGCGCAAGCCUGAUGACGCAACGCCGCGUGGGGGAUGAAGGUCUUCGGAUCGUAAACCCCUGUCGAAUGGGACGAAAGACCCGGGAGCUAAUCAUUCCGGGAGUGACGGUACCGUUAAAGGAAGCCCCGGCUAACUCUGUGCCAGCAGCCGCGGUAAUACAGAGGUGGCAAGCGUUGUUCGGAAUUACUGGGCGUAAAGGGCGCGUAGGCGGCCUUCUAAGUCAGACGUGAAAUCCCCCGGCUUAACCUGGGAACUGCGUCUGAUACUGGGAGGCUUGAGUAUGGGAGAGGGAUGUAGAAUUCCAGGUGUAGCGGUGAAAUGCGUAGAUAUCUGGAGGAAUACCGGUGGCGAAGGCGGCAUCCUGGACCAUAACUGACGCUGAGGCGCGAAAGCUAGGGGAGCAAACGGGAUUAGAUACCCCGGUAGUCCUAGCCCUAAACGAUGAAUACUUGGUGUGGCGGGUAUCGAUCCCUGCCGUGCCGAAGCUAACGCAUUAAGUAUUCCGCCUGGGGAGUACGGUCGCAAGGCUGAAACUCAAAAGGAAUUGACGGG
rnacentral:rRNA from 1 species